rnacentral:lncRNA from 1 species
GAUCUCGUGGGUUUUGAGGAAUUCGCGAGCCAGGUCCGGAGAGGAGACCACGAUGGCCGAGAUGGAGCCGAGCUUGAUGUUCAUGAGCGGGCCAUAGCGUGAGGCGAGGUCGUGGAAAGUGUGGUGGAUUAGUGGUCCGAUGAGGUGGAGAUGGCCGAUGACCGGAAGGGACAUGGGUCCCGGAGGGAGGUCUUUGUUGUUUCGUGCAUUUCGAGCUAGGGUUAGGGCGAAGAAGGCGAGUAUGGCUAGGAGGGAGAGAAGCUCGACGAUCAUGGUGAGCAUUUGGGGGGGUGAAGAAAGAUGAAAUGGUUAAGAAAUCAAUGGUUUUGUGUGUAUAAGUAUGGAGCUAGCUCUCUGGUGGUAGGUAGCAACUACCAAUGAAAUGAAGGGAUAUUUAUUUUAUUAGUUAUGGGAUAUUCAAUAUCCACCGUAAAAUGUAAUUAUGUAAGUGCUAGUCCGUCAACAGCCAACCAUCGCACAAUAAAAAUUUAAUAAAUUCCAUCCAUGGUUAUUGGAACCUCCUAAAAAGAUUUACUAAAUUCAUCGAGUACUUCAAGUGCAUCAGCAUGGCAUCUGGUGUACAUUAACUUGUUACACUGUUUGUCUUAAAUAAAUAAAUAAAACAUAUUACAUUGUUUGUUAAGCUUCAAUUAGAUUAGCAUUGACGGAACCGCCGGUGGGCCAACCAUAUAUGGUCCCAAAAUCAAACAACGUUGAAAGUCGAUAUAAAUUUUUCGAAAUAAAAAUUUAUGUCGAGUUCUUAUAUAAGUUAGCUAAACCUUUAAACACCGGUGCAUAUAUCCAAGGGGGGGAGUUGGGGUGAGCUAUGGCUUACCCAUGUUUCGGUCCAGAGAAUUCGGCGCAAUGAUUGAUCGUAUUGAAACCAGAAGGAGGCAGGGAAAGUCACAAUUCUCAUCUUUCAUAUGCCAUUACGUAUGGGUCGACUAUUAUUUCGAACACAAAUACAAGUUUAGUGACCAUUACAUGCAUUUUCGACCCGCACUCCAGCAAUUAGGUACGUAGGAGUUGCGCCCCUCUCAUCAAUUAUUUCACAGUGAUGUGCCCGUAGGGUGCGAAGGCGAAGGAGAUGUUGUUGUAGGUGAGGUAGUCGAUGGCAAUGGUGCUGGCCCGCAUCGAGAAGUUGAUCUCGUGGGUUUUGAGGAAUUCGCGAGCCAGGUCCGGAGAGGAGACCACGAUGGCCGAGAUGGAGCCGAGCUUGAUGUUCAUGAGCGGGCCAUAGCGUGAGGCGAGGUCGUGGAAAGUGUGGUGGAUUAGUGGUCCGAUGAGGUGGAGAUGGCCGAUGACCGGAAGGGACAUGGGUCCCGGAGGGAGGUCUUUGUUGUUUCGUGCAUUUCGAGCUAGGGUUAGGGCGAAGAAGGCGAGUAUGGCUAGGAGGGAGAGAAGCUCGACGAUCAUGGUGAGCAUUUGGG